rnacentral:rRNA from 1 species
CUUGUAGGCGGUUUGUCGCGUCUGCUGUGAAAAUCUGGGGCUUAACUCCGGACGUGCAGUGGGUACGGGCAGGCUAGAGUGUGGUAGGGGAGACUGGAAUUCCUGGUGUAGCGGUGAAAUGCGCAGAUAUCAGGAGGAACACCGAUGGCGAAGGCAGGUCUCUGGGCCAUAACUGACGCUGAGAAGCGAAAGCAUGGGUAGCGAACA